UACGUAGGCAGCGAGCGUUGUUCGAAGUUACUGGGCGUAAAGAGUGCGUAGGCGGUUUUCUAAGUUUGGUGUGAAAUCUCCCGCUUAACUGGGAGGGUGCGCCGAAGACUGGAAGGCUUGAGUAUGGGAGAGGUAAGCGGAAUUCCUGGUGUAGCGGUGAAAUGCGUAGAUAUCAGGAGGAACACCUGUGGCGAAAGCGGCUCACUGGACCAUAACUGACGCUGAUGCACGAAAGCUAGGGGAGCAAACAGG
rnacentral:rRNA from 1 species